rnacentral:tRNA from 1 species
GUCCCUGUAGUGCAAUGGAUAGCGCGUUGGACUUCUAAUCCAAAGGUCGUAGGUUCGAGUCCCACCAGAAAUG